CAGCAGCCGCGGUAACACGGAGGGGGCUAGCGUUGUUCGGAAUUACUGGGCGUAAAGCGCACGUAGGCGGCUUUUUAAGUCAGAGGUGAAAGCCCGGGGCUCAACUCCGGAACUGCCUUUGAGACUGGAAGGCUUGAACGUCGGAGAGGUGAGUGGAAUUCCGAGUGUAGAGGUGAAAUUCGUAGAUAUUCGGAAGAACACCAGUGGCGAAGGCGGCUCACUGGACGACUGUUGACGCUGAGGUGCGAAAGCGUGGGGAGCAAACAGGAUUAGAUACCCCUGUAGUCCCUGUCUCUUAUAC
rnacentral:rRNA from 1 species